UUUGCGACACAUACAAUAUAUUAUUAAUUCAUUACAACAUCUUGUUCGUGACACAAAACAACAACACAACAUAAUUUGACCUCUUAUCUGUGACACAAAACAACAAGGACCACAUUACACUGACCUCUUGUCCGUGACAGACAACAACAACAAAGCUAUAGACACAACAAUCUUGAAUACACUUGCAUUGACAUGAGAAGACUAAACUUACUACACAUCAAGACCAAUACUUGUGUCCGUGACUAAAUGGAACACACUUACUCAAGAAGAAGACAACUUAGCUCCCAAGAUCUCGUGUCUCUGAUUUUUCUAUCUCUGUGCUUGGAACCUGAAGCCAAUAAAACAUGACAUCAAUAUCAAUUAUCAUAAUGAAUGUAAAUCUAUCAUCUAGCAGUUUUAGAAUUUCAAAAUGAAACAUAGACAGUCGGUUUUGACAUGCCACACUAGACAGAAACAUGAACAAGAACAUAAAUAUGAAACAUAGAACAACUUAGAACAAGAACUUAAACAUGAAACAUAGAACAAGAACUUAAACAGAAACAUAGAACAAGAACUUAAACAAAAACAUAGAACAAUAUAUUAAACAGAACAUCAUCAGAUCAACAAAGUUGGAGGUUUGGCUACUAAAUUACUCAAAAAAAUAGAAAAGAGAGUUUUCGGAGAUUCCUAAACUAAACCAAAAGUAUUGAUCCACAAGAAGCUAAUUGAUGUUAAUCAAUAAUGUUCAUUGUUCCUAACAAAAAGCUAUGAACUUUGAAUACAAUGGAACAGAGAAACAAUAAGAAGAACCUGAGCUUUAUUGAAGAAGACUUGAUUCUUCUUGUGAUCGUUGAAUCUCAGCUUCUCCUUCCUUGAUGGAUGACUCUGAUCUUCCAUCAAUCGACAAACUCUGCCCCAAAAACAAACCAUCGACGAAGAGAAGACGAAGAACGAAGAGAAGAGAAGACGAAGAACAAACCAUCAAGUCUCAUCUUCCAUCAAUCGACGAAGAGAAGACGAAGAACAAACCAUCAAUUCUGAUCUUCAAUCGAUCGACGAAGAGAAGACGAAGAACAAACCAUCGUCGUCCUCUGAGAUGUCGAAGAACCGAAGAGAUGACGAAGAAAACGAAGAGAUGUCGAAGAACCGGGGAA
rnacentral:lncRNA from 1 species